AGAGUUUGAUCCUGGCUCAGGAUGAACGCUAGCGACAGGCCUAACACAUGCAAGUCGAGGGGUAACAUGAGUGCUUGCACUUGAUGACGGCCGGCGCACGGGUGCGUAACGCGUAUGCAACUUACCUUGUACUGGGGAAUAGCCCGUGGAAACGCGGAUUAAUGUCCCAUAACACUACAAUUUCGCAUGGAAAAGUGGUUAAAGUUCCGACGGUACAAGAUGGGCAUGCGUGACAUUAGCUAGUUGGUGAGGUAAGGGCUCACCAAGGCGACGAUGUCUAGGGGUUCUGAGAGGAAGGUCCCCCACACUGGUACUGAGACACGGACCAGACUCCUACGGGAGGCAGCAGUGAGGAAUAUUGGUCAAUGGGCGCAAGCCUGAACCAGCCAUGUCGCGUGCAGGAAGACUGCCCUACGGGUUGUAAACUGCUUUUGUAUGGGAAGAAACGUUGGUACGUGUACCAAUUUGCCGGUACCAUACGAAUAAGGAUCAGCUAACUCCGUGCCAGCAGCCGCGGUAAUACGGAGGAUCCAAGCGUUAUCCGGAUUUAUUGGGUUUAAAGGGUGCGUAGGCGGUAGAAUAAGUCAGUGGUGAAAUCCUGCAGCCUAACUGUAGAACUGCCAUUGAUACUGUUUUACUUGAGUGUAAUUGAGGUAGGCGGAAUGUGUUGUGUAGCGGUGAAAUGCAUAGAUAUAACACAGAACACCGAUUGCGAAGGCAGCUUACUAAGUUAUAACUGACGCUGAUGCACGAAAGCGUGGGUAGCGAACAGGAUUAGAUACCCUGGUAGUCCACGCCGUAAACGAUGAUUACUCGCUGUAGGCAAUACACCGUCUGUGGCUGAGCGAAAGCAUUAAGUAAUCCACCUGGGGAGUACGUUGGCAACAAUGAAACUCAAAGGAAUUGACGGGGGCCCGCACAAGCGGAGGAACAUGUGGUUUAAUUCGAUGAUACGCGAGGAACCUUACCUGGACUUAAAUGUAGAUUGACGUAUCCAGAGAUGGAUAUUUCUUCGGACAAUUUACAAGGUGCUGCAUGGUUGUCGUCAGCUCGUGCCGUGAGGUGUCGGGUUAAGUCCCAUAACGAGCGCAACCCCUGUUGUUAGUUACCAGCACAUCAUGGUGGGGACUCCAACAAGACUGCCGGUGUAAACCGCGAGGAAGGUGGGGAUGACGUCAAAUCAGCACGGCCCUUACGUCCAGGGCUACACACGUGUUACAAUGGCCGGUACAGAGGGCAGCUACUUGGUGACAAGAUGCGAAUCUCAAAAACCGGUCUCAGUUCCGAUCGAAGUCUGCAACCCGACUUCGUGAAGCUGGAUUCGCUAGUAAUCGCAUAUCAGCCAUGAUGCGGUGAAUACGUUCCCGGGCCUUGUACACACCGCCCGUCAAACCAUGGAAGUCGAGGGUACCUGAAGUCUGUUACCGUAUGGAGCGGCCUAGGGUAAAACUGAUAACUAGGGUUAAGUCGUAACAAGGUA
rnacentral:rRNA from 1 species